AUUGAACGCUGGCGGCAUGCCUUACACAUGCAAGUCGAACGGCAGCACGGGAGCUUGCUCCUGGUGGCGAGUGGCGAACGGGUGAGUAAUACAUCGGAACGUACCCUGAAGUGGGGGAUAACGUAGCGAAAGUUACGCUAAUACCGCAUAUUCUGUGAGCAGGAAAGAGGGGGAUCGCAAGACCUCUUGCUUUAGGAGCGGCCGAUGUCGGAUUAGCUAGUUGGUGAGGUAAAGGCUCACCAAGGCGACGAUCCGUAGCGGGUCUGAGAGGAUGAUCCGCCACACUGGGACUGAGACACGGCCCAGACUCCUACGGGAGGCAGCAGUGGGGAAUUUUGGACAAUGGGCGCAAGCCUGAUCCAGCCAUGCCGCGUGAGUGAAGAAGGCCUUC
rnacentral:rRNA from 1 species